GAUGAACGCUGGCGGCGUGCUUAACACAUGCAAGUCGAACGAUGAUGCCCAGCUUGCUGGGUGGAUUAGUGGCGAACGGGUGAGUAACACGUGAGUAACCUGCCCUUGACUCUGGGAUAAGCCUGGGAAACUGGGUCUAAUACCGGAUACGACCAUCUGGCGCAUGUCAUGGUGGUGGAAAGCUUUUGUGGUUUUGGAUGGACUCGCGGCCUAUCAGCUUGUUGGUGGGGUAAUGGCCUACCAAGGCGACGACGGGUAGCCGGCCUGAGAGGGUGACCGGCCACACUGGGACUGAGACACGGCCCAGACUCCUACGGGAGGCAGCAGUGGGGAAUAUUGCACAAUGGGCGCAAGCCUGAUGCAGCGACGCCGCGUGAGGGAUGACGGCCUUCGGGUUGUAAACCUCUUUCAGUAGGGACGAAGCGAAAGUGACGGUACCUGCAGAAGAAGCGCCGGCUAACUACGUG
rnacentral:rRNA from 1 species